rnacentral:rRNA from 1 species
UACAGAGGUCCCAAGCGUUGUUCGGAUUCAUUGGGUCGUAAAGGGUGCGUAGGUGGCGCUGUAAGUCGGGUGUGAAAUUUCGGAGCUUAACUCCGAAACUGCAUUCGAUACUGCGGUGCUCGAGGACUGGAGAGGAGGCUGGAAUUCAUGGUGUAGCAGUGAAAUGCGUAGAGAUCAUGAGGAAGACCAGUGGCGAAGGCGGGUCUCUGGACAGUUCCUGACACUGAGGCACGAAGGCCAGGGGAGCAAACGGG